AUUGAACGCUGGCGGCAGGCCUAACACAUGCAAGUCGAGCGGAGCGGCGGCCGGGUGAGUAAAGCCUAGGAAUCAGCCUGGUAGUGGGGGAUAAGGUCCGGAAACGGGCGCUAACAGCGCAUACUAUGACACGAGACUAGGUCGGAUUAGCGAGUUGGUGGGGUAAAGGCCUACCAAGGCGACGAUCCGUAACUGGUCUGAGAGGAUGCUCAGUCACACUGCUACUGAGACACGUUCCAGACUCCUACGGGAGGCAGCAGUGGCGAAUAUUGGACAAUGGGCCAAACCCUGAUCCAGCCAUGCCGCGUGUGUGAAGAAGGUCUUCGGAUUGUAAAGCCCUUUAAGUUGGGAGGCGUUACCAACAGAAUAAGCACCGGCUUACUUCGUGCCAGCAGCCGCGGUAAUAC
rnacentral:rRNA from 1 species